GCUAGGAGUUGUGGAGUGUGCCUGUAAUCCCAGCUACUUGGGAGGCUGAGGUGGGAGGAUUGCUUGAGCCCAGGAGGACGAGGCUGCAGUGAGUCAUGACUGCACCACUGCACUCCAGCCUGGGCAACAGAGCAAGACCCUGUCUCAA
ensembl:misc_RNA Metazoa_SRP Metazoan signal recognition particle RNA